UCGAGAAUCUUCCACAAUGGUCGAAAGACUGAUGGAGCGACGCUGCGUGCAGGAUGACGGCCUUAGGGUUGUAAACUGCUGUCACGCUUACGGAACCCGCGUACAUGAAUAGUGUGCGCGCUGACCUAGGCGAAAGGAAGUGCCGGCUAACUCCGUGCCAGCAGCCGCGGUAAUACGGAGGGCGCAAGCGUUGUUCGGAAUCACUGGGCAUAAAGAGCACGUAGGCGGUCCGCUAAGUCGAAUGUGAAAGCCCCCGGCUCAACCGGGGAACAGCAUCCGAUACUGGCGGGCUAGAGGAAGGCAGGGGUGAGUGGAACUCCAGGUGGAACGGUGAAAUGUGUAGAUAUCUGGAGGAACACCGGUGGCGAAAGCGGCUCACUGGGCCUUUCCUGACGCUGAGGUGCGAAAGCUAGGGUAGCAAACGGGAUUAGAUACCCCCGUAGUCCCUGAGCGGGCUGGCAAGGCGCAU
rnacentral:rRNA from 1 species